rnacentral:rRNA from 1 species
GAUGAACGCUGUCUACAGGCUUAACACAUGCAAGUCGAGGGGAAACGACGGGGAAGCUUGCUUCCCCGGGCGUCGACCGGCGCACGGGUGAGUAACGCGUAUCCAACCUGCCUCUGACUGAGGGAUAACCCGUCGAAAGUCGGCCUAAUACCUCAUGGCAUCGUCUGCGGGCAUCCAACGACGAUUAAAGAUUUCAUCGGUCAGGGAUGGGGAUGCGUCUGAUUAGCUUGUUGGCGGGGUAACGGCCCACCGAGGCUACGAUCAGUAGGGGUUCUGAGAGGAAGGUCCCCCACAUUGGAACUGAGACACGGUCCAAACUCCUACGGGAGGCAGCAGUGAGGAAUAUUGGUCAAUGGGCGGGAGCCUGAACCAGCCAAGUAGCGUGCAGGAUGACGGCCCUAUGGGUUGUAAACUGCUUUUAUGCGGGGAUAAAGUGAGGGACGUGUCCUUCAUUGCAGGUACCGCAUGAAUAAGGACCGGCUAAUUCCGUG